rnacentral:rRNA from 1 species
AUUGAACGCUGGCGGCAGGCCUAACACAUGCAAGUCGAACGAGACCUUCGGGUCUAGUGGCGCACGGGUGCGUAACGCGUGGGAAUCUGCCCUUGGGUGCGGAAUAACAGUUAGAAAUGACUGCUAAUACCGCAUAAUGACUCCGGUCCAAAGAUUUAUCGCCCAGGGAUGAGCCCGCGUCGGAUUAGCUAGUUGGUAGGGUAAAAGCCUACCAAGGCAACGAUCCGUAGCUGGUCUGAGAGGAUGAUCAGCCACACUGGGACUGAGACACGGCCCAGACUCCUACGGGAGGCAGCAGUGGGGAAUAUUGGACAAUGGGCGAAAGCCUGAUCCAGCAAUGCCGCGUGAGUGAUGAAGGCCUUAGGGUUGUAAAGCUCUUUUACCCGGGAUGAUAAUGACAGUACCGGGAGAAUAAGCCCCGGCUAACUCCGUGCCAGCCGCCGCCGUAAAAC